CAAAAAAAAGGAUGAAGUCUAUACAGUUCAAGCGCCACAGUAUAGACUUCAAGCGCCAACUGUAUAGACUUCAUCCUUUUUUUUG
rnacentral:pre_miRNA from 1 species